CGAAAAGAUCAAGAAACAUGGUGGUCCGUGAUUCCUGUCUUUUUGCGCCGUCAUCAUUUCAACGAGAGACCGAGUGAGAUUAGAUUAAGAUAAACAGAAUGUUAUCGGAAAAUCAUCUAAGCAUUUUGAGAAGAAUCUUCGGAAAGAUGAACGUAGAAACCAAUUGUUGCAAUUAAGAAGAAAGAAGCGCGAGCAAGUAUUUGCGCAGAAGACAAAUCUCGGUGGUUUUUCUUCGUCACCUGUUCUUGUCUGCGUAUUAUAAAGGAAUUUUUUUAUAUAUA